GAUGACCCAUAGUACCCCAUUCCUUGCUGCAAUGUAAUUAUAUUUAAUUACAAGUGUGCUCCUGGUGGUCUUUAACUGAAGGGCACUGACUGGGUCACUGGUGAAGUUCCCCGCAGGAACUGAGUCAGACCCCAUCUCAGGGCCCCGCACAAGAUAGGUGCCUGCACUAAGGCGUGGACCCUCGCGACAGCCCUGGCCCGUCUUGACGGGCGAGGGUUACUGUACUUGUCCCAACCGUACAGAUGAGAAAGCUGAGACUCAGGGCGAGCAACCCGGGUCCCAGCGGAGCGCCGGGCACGCGCCGACACUUCCGCACCAGUCGCGGUGGCCACCACUGUGCGCGGAGAUGGCUGCGACGCGUGCGCAGAUCUCGAUCCCAAACUCCCUCCUGCCAGAAUCUGGACCCGAAUCCACCCAUUGCCCAGUUUCCGCUGCCGCUGGAGAGAAUCUCUGAGGUCCCCAGGACAGCCUGCCUGCACGGAAGAGAUGCCUCCUCAAUAGCUGGGAGAGAGGAUUUUUCAUGUUACCAACACAAAGAAAUGAUAAAGGUGAAAUGGCCACCAGACCCAGGCUUUCUGGAAUGCAUUCAUUUUCUGCAGUUGAAAGGGACGAUCCCGGAUCUGAAAGAAAGAGCCACAGUGACUCCAAGAGUGGAGCCAGGGCAUGCUGGACACUGCAUAGCUAUGGCCACGUGUGUCACCUCCGAGGGAGAUGUGAGAGAAACGCAGAGGGAUCGCUUGUGACUGUGCCUUCUCGAUGUAUGAUGGACUGUUCUGCUCAAAUAGUAAGUGUGACCAAGGAGCCGGUGAACAUAGGAAACAAAGAAUAUUUCAUUUGAUAUUAUAAGGAAUGCGACAAUUCUAGUCACUUGAAAGUGAACUAUAUCUGUCGAGAAUUCCUAGUUUUAAUUGGGAAAAAAUGUGCUUCUCUUCUUGAAAAGCCACAGGUUAUUGCUUUUAUGUCUAAUAUCAGUCCUCUCUGGAUCUCUCAAAAGAUUUUGUGUAUAUCCUACCAUUUUCCUUCUGUUGCUGCAGUUUGGAAGUAGUUUGUUAUCAGGAUUAUCAAAGCAUCAUUGCUAUUUAUGACAAUGACUAAGAAAUGCAAGAAUAUUUGGAACACUGUAGAAAAAAUAUUUUAGCCUGGAAGGCAAAUACUUAUUUGAGUAACUAUUGAUCUGUUAUAAAACAGGACCACUCAGACAUUUAGCUCUAGGACUUUUGCAUAUCUGUUGUUAGAGGCGUAUAGUGGGGGGCAUGACUCAGCUUCUGCUUAAGUACAAGGUGUUGUCUGCAGCGAAGGAAGAAUUUGAUUGUAGUAUCAACAGAACCAGACAGAACUCUUUGAAUAUAAUUAUAUAUCUUGGAAACUGACUCAUCAAAGCUAUUAGAUUACAUAGCAUCAUUUAAGCAUCGUUGGGCUCUGUACUUUUCAUUAUCUGUACUUUUCAUUAUGGAGUAUAAUAGGCUUUAUUUGGUACAGAAAUUGGGUCUAAGAUGGAAACAACUUGUGAUUUUUGAAUAAACUUUUGGGGAUUAGUUACUUUGAUGUUGUCAAGAUAGCAGCAUAGUAAGUCCUCUGCCUUUCCUCUUGGUUUAUUUAUAAUUUAGAAUCAGUUUAUGAUUUUAAAAAAUGUGACAGACACAGUGGCAUGCACCAGUAGUACCAGCCACAUGGGAAACUGAGGCAGAAGGAUCACUUGAUCCCAGAAGAUAGAGACCACCCUGGGCAACAUAGUGAGAGCCCCAUCUCAAAAAAAAAAAAA
rnacentral:lncRNA from 1 species